UAGCGAAAUUCGUUGACUUAGCGAAGACGCACACUAUUUCACUGGGUAUGAAUGGAAACAACUCAGAGCAUCUCGAAAACAAAAGUUAGUGAUCGUUUUGAAAACAAAAGUUAGAUGAACUGCGACUGAUUGGUUUUCUCCAGCUGCGGCGCAACUUUUUGCCACUGGAAUCGGUAAAAGGUCCGUCUGAACAUCAGAUCGCUUCGGACGCUCUCGGUCUGAUGUUUUCAUCGGAAAAUUUAUCUGUUGGCCGCAGGGAAAUAAUAUCGGCUGCUCAUAGAAUAGCAUCUAGUGCUGGUUGCUGAUCAUCAACUACGGCGAAAAGUGCGACAGGUCUAUUCCCGCCGGGUGUGGCAGUUCCUAUAUGCUAAGGGGACGUCAACGAGUUGGUUUGUACUGGAUGCGGUGCAGUAUUUCAUCACUGAGAUCGGUGGAAGUCCCAGCUGAGUAGCAAACUCCUCCGGUCGUCUUCCAGUUUGUUAGGUGAAAUUCCACCGGAUGCGGCAAAGGUUUUCGCUUAUGGGAUCGAUGGAACCGGCUGAUCAGCAGACCGUCAGGACGCCCUCCAGGAUCGAGAACACAAUCGGAAAAUUCGUCGGUUGACAGGAGAAAAACAAACGGUCACUUUCGAACAUCAGAAAGUGAUGGCUGCCACUCACCAUUUUGGACAAAAAAGUGAUGGGAAAUAAACUCAUUUCACACAUUUGAUUUAAUUAAAUUUGGUCCGAAAUUCCAAUUAAUUGCUUUAAAAAAUAUAUAAUCCCUUUCGAAACCGUGUCAAAUUUUUGAAGAUUUUGAGUUGUUUUGGCUCAGACCGUUCAGAUGCUGCUUAAA